rnacentral:misc_RNA from 1 species
GAUGAAGAACGUAGCGAAAUGCGAUAAGUAGUGUGAAUUGCAGAAUUCAGUGAAUCAUCGAAUCUUUGAACGCACAUUGCGCCCCUUGGUAUCCCGAGGGGCAUGCCUGUUCGAGCGUCAUUUCACCACUCAAGCCUGGCUUGGUGUUGGGCGACGUCCCCUUUGGGGACGCGCCUCGAAACGCUCGGCGGCGUGGCACCGGCUUUAAGCGUAGCAGAAUCUUUCGCUUUGGAAGUCGGGGCCCCGUCUGCCGGAAGACCUACUCGCAAGGUUGACCUCGGAUCAGGCAGGGAUACCCGCUGAACUUAGGCAUAUCAAUAAGCGGAGGA